CACAGUUGAGCUACAUCUCGCAAUAUUAUGUUGUAGAGCUGCACGGUUGAAGUUAUGCUUUGCAGAUAACUACAAUGUGUCCUCGAAGGGAAGAUGCCUGAACUUGCUCUAAAACCAAACUUAUUCACUGGUUCGUGUUCUACUCUGAAUUUGCUGCAGGGGAAAGGCCACAAGCCUGUGUGAGUCAAGUAAUGCUCCCCGACUGAUAGGGGAACAUUAUCACCAGACCUGUGUAAGCGUCAAUAUAUACCUUGAUGUUGCAGAAAAAAGACCAUAUAUUUUUUUUAACCGGUUUCCGAACUCUAAAUGGGUGAAUUUUGGCGGAUUAAACGCCUUUCUGUUUAGCCCUCUUGAAGCGAUGAUGUCAGAACAUGACGUAGCCUAGGUAAGAAAGCCACCAUUUUAAUUUUCUCAAACACAUUACAAACACCGGGUUUCAGCUCGGUUAGUUUCCGGUUUUUCGACUAUUUUUUGGAACCUUGGAGACAUCAUGCGUCAUCAGUGUGUUGUCGGAGGGUGUAACAACACUAACAGGGAGGGAUUCAGGUUGCACCACUGGCCCGAAGAUGCGAAAGUGGCAAGAAAUCUUCCGCCAAACCCCCAUUGAAUGUGCCGGAGUCUCUGCACAUUUUACCGGCGAUGACAGACAUGGCACAGAGAUGUAUGUAUAACCUGCAGACGCAUUUGCAACGAUAAAGUCAACGAAAUCCCAAAGGGGGUCCAGGCCGAUGUCCAUGGAUGAAGUUCUGGCUGUCCAGAGUCGGGACCCAGGAUGGACCGCUCGCCUGUGUAUCGGCUGGGGACAUCUCUGCGCUGCUGAUCCGCCUCCGCUUGGGAUGGUUUCCUGCUGGCUCCGCUGUGGACGGGACUCUCGCUGCUGUGUUGGAUCCGCUUUGGACUGGACUCUCGCGGCUGUGUUGGAUCCACUAUGGACUGAACUUUUCACAGUAUCAUGUUAGACACGCUUGACAUCCAUUGCUUUCGGUCCCCUAGUCAUCAUUGUCACCGACGUCCCACUGGGUGUGAGUUUUCCUUGCCCUUAUGUGGGCCUACCGAGAAUGUCGUAGUGGUUUGUGCAGCCCUUUGAGACACUAGUGAUUUAGGGCUAUAUAAAUGAGGAUUGAUUGAUUGAAAUAAAACAAAACAAAUAUUAAACCACUAAACUAAAAUUUCUGUAUCUUACAUUUAAAAAUAUAAAAAUGGAAAUAUCAACUUAAAUAUGCAAUAAAAAUGUUAUGUGUUGAGAUAA